CAAUAGCGUAUAUUAAAGUUGUUGCGGUUAAAAAGCUCGUAGUUGGAUUUCUGCUGAGGACGACCGGUCCGCCCUCUGGGUGAGUAUCUGGCUCGGCCUGGGCAUCUUCUUGGAGAACGUAGCUGCACUUGACUGUGUGGUGCGGUAUCCAAGACCUUUACUUUGAGGAAAUUAGAGUGUUUCAAGCAGGCACACGCCUUGAAUACAUUAGCAUGGAAUAAUAAGAUAGGACCUUGGUUCUAUUUUGUUGGUUUCUAGAGCUGAGGUAAUGAUUAAUAGGGAUAGUUGGGGGCAUUCGUAUUUAACUGUCAGAGGUGAAAUUCUUGGAUUUGUUAAAGACGGGCUACUGCGAAAGCAUUUGCCAAGGAUGUUUNCAUUG
rnacentral:rRNA from 1 species